rnacentral:tRNA from 1 species
GGGUCGGUGGUCUAGCCUGGUUAUGACACUUGGCUUACACCCAAGAAGUCAGCAGUUCAAAUCUGCUCCGACCCA